rnacentral:rRNA from 1 species
CUGAUGUUAGCGGCGGACGGGUGAGUAACACGUGGAUAACCUACCUAUAAGACUGGGAUAACUUCGGGAAACCGGAGCUAAUACCGGAUAAUAUUUUGAACCGCAUGGUUCAAAAGUGAAAGACGGUCUUGCUGUCACUUAUAGAUGGAUCCGCGCUGCAUUAGCUAGUUGGUAAGGUAACGGCUUACCAAGGCAACGAUGCAUAGCCGACCUGAGAGGGUGAUCGGCCACACUGGAACUGAGACACGGUCCAGACUCCUACGGGAGGCAGCAGUAGGGAAUCUUCCGCAAUGGGCGAAAGCCUGACGGAGCAACGCCGCGUGAGUGAUGAAGGUCUUCGGAUCGUAAAACUCUGUUAUUAGGGAAGAACAUAUGUGUAAGUAACUGUGCACAUCUUGACGGUACCUAAUCAGAAAGCCACGGCUAACUACGUGCCAGCAGCCGCGGUAAUACGUAGGUGGCAAGCGUUAUCCGGAAUUAUUGGGCGUAAAGCGCGCGUAGGCGGUUUUUUAAGUCUGAUGUGAAAGCCCACGGCUCAACCGUGGAGGGUCAUUGGAAACUGGAAAACUUGAGUGCAGAAGAGGAAAGUGGAAUUCCAUGUGUAGCGGUGAAAUGCGCAGAGAUAUGGAGGAACACCAGUGGCGAAGGCGACUUUCUGGUCUGUAACUGACGCUGAUGUGCGAAAGCGUGGGGAUCAAACAGGAUUAGAUACCCUGGUAGUCCACGCCGUAAACGAUGAGUGCUAAGUGUUAGGGGGUUUCCGCCCCUUAGUGCUGCAGCUAACGCAUUAAGCACUCCGCCUGGGGAGUACGACCGCAAGGUUGAAACUCAAAGGAAUUGACGGGGACCCGCACAAGCGGUGGAGCAUGUGGUUUAAUUCGAAGCAACGCGAAGAACCUUACCAAAUCUUG